GCAACUCUUGGACGUAUUAUCAAUGUCAUUGGGGAGCCUAUUGAUGAGAAGAGUGAUCUAAAGAAGCUCCUGCUUUUUGUUGAACAAGUCACUGAGCAACAGAUUCUUGUCACAGGAAUCAAGAUUGAAGUUUUUGGUUAAAGCUCCCAAGUGAAUUUUGUCAAAACGUUGAUCAUGUCGUGGCAAGGUUUCCAAGGCAAGUAUGGGUUGAAGAAGUGAGGAAAAGAGCAUGCAAAAGGGAAGAUGCAAGAAAUGAAGGAUUUGGAAAGCUGCCAACCCUG